UGGAUCUAAAAGAGGGGAAAGAAAGAAGCUGGGAGUUCAUGCAAAGAGGGAACAGAGCACACUAAAAAGAGGCUUUCCCGGCAGGCCGCUGCCCAGGGGCUCAGGGGGGCUUUCUGAGCCUGCGGGCAGCAAGAGACUCCACUGGGGAAAAGGGUUCAUGAAGUUCCGCUCCCUGGGGCUAAGGGUACAAAAGCUGUCCCCAGGAAACUGGGAGAUCUGAUGGCUUGGAGCAAGGGGAGAAAGAACAGGUUUGAAGGUGAUGAGUAAAACGGAUCUGAAUCAUGAAUCACCGGUCUUCAAUAUGUCUGUAAACAUAAGCUUUAACGAAAUAAAUGAAUCCCUGUUUUGAAACAUAGUGGGUAACCCUAAAAAUGAAGUCUGAACUCUCUUCCCAUUUGGGAGCUUUCUCUGCAGUCACUGUGCUAGGUAGGGAAGCACUUUGCAACCUCUAGCUGGCCGAGCCCUACUUAGAAUGUACUGCUAAUUCCCCGUCUUACUCAUGAGGAAACUGAGGGCAGAGCGGCUAAUUAACCAGCUCAAGGACACCCAGCUGGUAGAGGAGCGGUUUGAACUCAGGGAUCUGACUUCAGUGGUCAGCUGUUGAGCCUCUGCUGUGGGAUAAUCAACUCUGUUGGUCUCUGACCAGAGAUGGCAAUGACUCCUCUGUAGUCUCAGCUGCCUUGCACAGUGAGGAUGACCUUCCUGUAGCAGACCUGAGUGAUUGCAGCCCCAUUGAACUUGAUGGCUUUCCUGAAGGGCCCGUGCAACCUACCCAAAGGCCCUAUAGGAGCAGGAUUCCAAAUGGACUGGAUGCAAGUCACCAAGAUCGGAGUCAGCCCUGGACCAGCCCUUCCUGUGUGAUUUCAGGACCUCAAGGAGCCCCAAGUGGCCUUUUUACUGAAAAACCACCAUAAAAGAGCCAUUGUGCUUAACACGGAACCAGAUGUGUGCUUAACUUUACCCAGGUCACUGGAUCUCACCUUGGGCCAUGGGCCAAGGUAACCCAAAGGUUCUCAGCACCACACAAGAUUGCUACCACCGAAUCUGCCUUGGGUUCUGAUGGGCCCAGAUUGGAUGUGAUGCUCUCCGCAGGUCCCGUCAGCUGUGGCUGGACAUCGGGACGUGCUAUACAAAGAAGCUACCAGGAACUACAGUUGUGGGGUCCACGUGAAACUUCCCGAUGGCCUGUCUGUAAACCUUCAAGCACGGACACUUUAAGAAUAACGUGUCCCUCUCAGAGCUCCACCACUGAAAGGUGUGCCUUCAACAACAGAAAGAUUUAUGACUUUCUUCCCCCACAGAAAAACCACAGAAAUAUUUCCUUCUUGACUGCAGCAGGGAGUUCCAAGUCUCAUUAAAGAACCGGCCAGAUGCUUCCUCCUAGCUUGUGUGGGAAGAAGUUCAGAUAAAGAGCAUUUGAAACUCUA